AUCCACUCAAGAUUGGGCGGCUCAGUGUCAGAGCGACUUCUCGAGGUGUCCAGAACUUCUGCUUUUUUGGGAAGUGGUUAUAUUAGGACUACAAGAGGGUGAAAACUGGGAGAGUCAACUGCCACUACGGUCUAAUAGAUAAAGAUGGACAACUGAGAUGUGUGCUACUCAGAAACAAACUGAAAUGCCUAUGGCAGGCUUGUUGAAGCAAAGAUGACCACAGUCAUGUCCAUGUGCAGAUGAAAUGGCAGAUUUCCAGCACUAGUUUUUUUUUCUUUAUUUCUUUUUAACACCC